GACGAACGCUGGCGGCGUGCUUAACACAUGCAAGUCGAACGGAAAGGCCCUGCUUGCAGGGUACUCGAGUGGCGAACGGGUGAGUAACACGUGGGUGAUCUGCCCUGCACUUCGGGAUAAGCUUGGGAAACUGGGUCUAAUACCGGAUAGGAACCAUCUUUAGUGUGGUGGUUGGAAAGGUUUUUCGGUGUAGGAUGAGCUCGCGGCCUAUCAGCUUGUUGGUGGGGUAAUGGCCUACCAAGGCGGCGACGGGUAGCCGGCCUGAGAGGGUGUACGGCCACAUUGGGACUGAGAUACGGCCCAGACUCCUACGGGAGGCAGCAGUGGGGAAUAUUGCACAAUGGGCGCAAGCCUGAUGCAGCGACGCCGCGUGGGGGAUGAAGGCCUACGGGUUGUAAACUCCUUUCGCUAGGGACGAAGCUUUGCUGUGACGGUACCUAGAUAAGAAGCACCGGCUAACUACGUG
rnacentral:rRNA from 1 species